UAGAUGAAGUUCGUAUUCAAAUUUAGAUCUGUCAGAUGUAUGAUACGUAGUUAUUUAUAAAUAUUUGAUAAAAAUUUAAUAAAAAAAAUAUAAUAUUUUAUGAAACCUGCGGCACUUAAAGGAAGAGAGAGACGAGAAGUGGAUCGAGAGCUAUUUGGAGGGACCCAUGGAAUUAAAUGAAGCAAGGGAGAAAGUCUUCACGGGGCUGGUGCAUGAGCUUGAAAGGAGGGGUUUGUUGGCAGGCUAACAGUGGUUCAAAUGCACAUGUGGCGCAUGGCUAAUAGUGGAGGGACACUGUGGCUUUGGUUCGGUCUUCACAGC
rnacentral:lncRNA from 1 species